UACGUAGGUGGCAAGCGUUGUCCGGAUUCAUUGGGCGUAAAGAGCACGCAGGCGGUUUGGCAAGUCGGAUGUGAAAACCCGAAGCUCAACUUCGGGCCUGACAUCCGAAACUGCCCGACUAGAGGUAGGUAGGGGAGAUCGGAAUUCCUGGUGUAGCGGUGAAAUGCGCAGAUAUCAGGAGGAACACCGGUGGCGAAGGCG
rnacentral:rRNA from 1 species